AUACGGAGGAUACGAGCGUUAUCCGGAUUUAUUGGGUUUAAAGGGUGCGUAGGUGGCUGUUUAAGUUGAUGGUGAAAAGCUGUGGCUCAACCAUGGUCUUGCCGUCAAAACUGGUCAGCUUGAGUGUAGAUGAUGUAGGCGGAAUGCGUAGUGUAGCGGUGAUAUGCAUAGAUAUUACGCAGAACUCCGAUUGCGAAGGCAGCUUACAAAGGUAUAACUGACACUGAGGCACGAAAGCGUGGGUAUCAAACAGGAUUAGAUACCCUGGUAGUCCACGCUGUAAACGAUGAUUACUCAGAGUAUGCGAUAUAAUGUAUGCUCUCAAGCGAAAGCGUUAAGUAAUCCACCUGGGGAGUACGUCGGCAACGAUGAA
rnacentral:rRNA from 1 species